rnacentral:rRNA from 1 species
AAUAUUGGACAAUGGGGGCAACCCUGAUCCAGCCAUGCCGCGUGUGUGAAGAAGGUCUUCGGAUUGUAAAGCACUUUAAGUUGGGAGGAAGGGCUUUAGUCUAAUACCCUGAAGUUUUGACGUUACCACCAGAAUAAGCACUGGCUAACUCUGUGCCAUCAGCCGCGGUAAUACCAAGGGUGCAAGCGUUAAUCGGGAUUCCUGGGCGUAAAUCGCGCGUAGGUGGUUCAGUAAGAUGGGUGUGAAAUCCCCGGGCUUAACCUGGGAACUGCUUUCAUAACUGCUGAGCUAGAGUACGGUAGAGGGUAGUGGAAUUUCCUGUGUAGCGGUGAAAUGCGUAGAUAUAGGAAGGAACACCAGUGGCGAAGGCGACUACCUGGACUGAUACUGACACUGAGGUGCGAAAGCGUGGGGAGCAAACA